AUACGGAGGGUGCAAGCGUUAAUCGGAAUUACUGGGCGUAAGGCGCGCGUAGGCGGUUUGGUAAGUCGGAUGUGAAAGCCCCGGGCUCAACCUGGGAAUUGCAUUCGAUACUGUCAGGCUAGAGUAUGGUAGAGGGAAGCGGAAUUCCAGGUGUAGCGGUGAAAUGCGUAGAUAUCUGGAGGAACAUCAGUGGCGAAGGCGGCUUCCUGGAUCAAUACUGACGCUGAGGUGCGAAAGCGUGGGGAGCAAACAGGAUUAGAUACCCCGGUAGUCC
rnacentral:rRNA from 1 species